UUUACCCUGCCUUGUUCGUGAUGACUAACAAAGUCCUUGAACCGUAGUAAUACGUUCCCGGGACCCAAGUUGAGAUUGUGACCGACACGCCUUCACUGGACGUCGCCAGCAAUCCGGCCCGUCCCACAUGUUGCAAACAUGUUCAAAGGAGCUGUUACACACGACAAAGGUGGGGUUCUU
rnacentral:other from 1 species